rnacentral:rRNA from 1 species
UACGGAGGAUGCAAGCGUUAUCCGGAAUGAUUGGGCGUAAAGCGUCCGCAGGUGGCUGUGUAAGUCUGCUGUCAAAGAGCGAAGCUCAACAUCGUAAAGGCAGUGGAAACUACACGGCUAGAGUGCGUUCGGGGCAGAGGGAAUUCCUGGUGUAGCGGUGAAAUGCGCAGAUAUCAGGAAGAACACCCGUGGCGAAGGCGGCUCUCUGGGACGGUACUGACGCUGAGACGCGAAAGCGUGGGGAGCGAACAGG